AACGCACUUUGCACUGUCUGGAAUCCUGGACAGUAUAUCUGUUUGAGUAUCGUUUCAAUAUCACUCUUAGAGAAUGUGAAUACAUUUUCUGGGAGUGUAGCUGAGAUAUUGUGGACUUGUCUGCAUGUCUUUAAACUUAGUUAUACAUACUAGUGGAGCAGUCCGAAAGGAAUCUCUGUUAGUGUGUCACUUAACGAUAAGGUCUUUGUACCUUGAAAUACCAUCUCAAAUCAGAUAAGAAUACCCGCUGAACUUAA
rnacentral:misc_RNA from 1 species